UACGUAGGGUGCAAGCGUUGUCCGGAAUUAUUGGGCGUAAAGAGCUCGUAGGCGGUUUGUUGCGUCGGCUGUGAAAUCCCGAGGCUCAACCUCGGGUCUGCAGUCGAUACGAGCAAACUAGAGUGUUGCAGGGGAGACUGGAAUUCCUGGUGUAGCGGUGAAAUGCGCAGAUAUCAGGAGGAACACCGGUGGCGAAGGCGGGUCUCUGGCAACAACUGACGCUGAGGAGCGAAAGCGUGGGGAGCGAACAGG
rnacentral:rRNA from 1 species